UCCCUGGAGGACUAGUGGUUAGGCCAUGGCGGUCUUACAGCCACGGGCUAGGUUCGAUUUCUGGCCAGGGAA
rnacentral:tRNA from 1 species